UCUUUUACGCCCUAAAGCCCACGUUCCUGCAAUCAUAUUUCUCCUUUUCUUCGCAACAUCUUCAAAUUCUCUAAAAUUUCAUCAAUUUCCCUAAACUUUCUUCGAAUUCACCAAAAAUUCUUCACAAUUUGGUAUUUUUUUUUGUUUAUACAUUUUCUGUUCAUCGAACUUUGAGCUUAGAGUAUUUUUGUGGAUAGUUUUUGUUGUUCCAAUUUGGCGUAUUCUUUAGGGUUUUUGCUUUGAGAAGUUUGGAGAUCCCGUUUAUUUUUUUGGUGAUGAAUCCGAGAGCAAGAUAUCCACCGCCGGGAAUGGGAGGCGUUGGCCGUGGUGGCGGAAAUAUGUACCCAAAUGCUAACCCUAAUUUUCAACCGAGAAAUCCACAGCAGUACGUGCAGAGAAGUCCGGUGAACCAACAGCAACAUUUUCAGAAUCAACAGACACAGCAAUGGCUCAGAAGGAACCAGUUGGCAUCUGAUUCAGCAGUCGAUGAGGUUGAAAAGACUGGACAAUCUGAAGCAGUUGACCAAAGUUCACAGGAUUGGAAGGCGAGGUUGAAGAUACCACCCGCUGAUACUAGAUACAGGACAGAGGAUGUAACAGCGACCAAGGGUAAUGAAUUUGAAGACUAUUUUCUUAAGCGUGAAUUGCUUAUGGGAAUUUAUGAGAAGGGUUUUGAGAGACCAUCUCCAAUCCAAGAAGAGAGUAUCCCAAUUGCUCUUACUGGGAGUGAUAUUUUAGCUAGGGCAAAAAAUGGAACAGGGAAAACUGCUGCUUUCUGCAUUCCGGCAUUGGAAAAAAUUGACCAGGACGUCAAUGCCAUUCAAGUUGUUAUCCUUGUUCCUACGCGAGAAUUGGCUCUUCAAACAUCUCAAGUUUGCAAAGAACUUGGAAAGCACUUAAAAAUUGAAGUCAUGGUUACCACUGGGGGGACCAGCUUGAAGGAUGAUAUAAUGCGACUCUAUCAACCGGUUCAUUUACUAGUUGGAACUCCUGGAAGAAUACUCGACCUUGCAAGAAAGGGAAUAUGUGUUUUGAAAGAUUGUUCCAUGCUUGUCAUGGAUGAGGCUGAUAAGCUUCUUUCUCCGGAGUUUCAACCUUCCAUUGUGCAGCUGAUUCGUUUCUUGCCAGCAAAUCGUCAAGUUUUAAUGUUCUCUGCUACAUUCCCUGUCACAGUCAAGGACUUCAAAGAAAGAUAUCUGCAGAAGCCAUAUGUUAUCAACCUUAUGGACGAACUUACUCUCAAGGGUAUAACACAAUUUUAUGCUUUUGUAGAGGAAAGACAGAAGCUUCAUUGCCUUAACACUUUAUUCUCAAAGCUUCAAAUCAACCAAUCAAUUAUCUUUUGCAACUCUGUAAACCGUGUGGAACUGCUCGCCAAGAAGAUCACAGAGUUAGGCUAUUCAUGCUUCUACAUCCAUGCAAAGAUGCUUCAAGAUCAUAGGAACAGAGUAUUUCAUGACUUCCGCAAUGGUGCCUGCAGGAACCUUGUUUGUACUGAUCUGUUUACUAGAGGGAUAGAUAUUCAAGCAGUCAAUGUUGUUAUAAAUUUUGAUUUCCCGAAGAACUCAGAGACAUACUUACACAGGGUCGGGCGUUCAGGGAGAUUUGGGCAUCUUGGUUUAGCUGUGAACCUGAUUACUUAUGAGGAUCGCUUCAACCUGUAUAGAAUUGAACAAGAACUAGGAACAGAGAUCAAGCAAAUUCCUCCGCACAUAGAUCAGGCUAUAUAUUGCCUUUGAUCAGUUAGCUGCCCGGUUGAUGGUGCACCAAUGGUGAGUCUUUUGUACAGAAAUCUCAUGUUGAAGGUCUGCGACUCCUGAGACGCUGAGAGAAUGUAUGACUUGUCUGUUUCAUGGUUUGCUGAGAUAACCGAGUUCAUCUUUAGAUCUAGUGACUAUUUUUAAGUUGAUCUUAAAAGCAUUUAGCAGUACAUACUGAAACUGGAUAGGUCCAGUCAGAGACUGACUGUUGGUGAGCCCCCUGGUUUAUGUAGUAUUUGGCAUUCGUCGCUGUUUCCUUUUCGCUGUAUGUCUAUCAGAUAAGCUGUAAAAGGUUUUGCUCUAUGGUAUUUGGAUCUAUAUUCAUCUGUGGCAUAUGGUAAUAUGGGCAUUGAUCAUGGAGAAGUGUUACCUAAAGAUGUCACCCAACAUCUUAAGUGAUGGAGUAGUCAUUUUUUCGUGCAUUUACAGAGAUGAAUAUCAGACGUUCAACCACUGUCUCAGUAUUUGUGUAGCCUGUGUUCUGGGGGCAUUGUGCUCCUUUCAGCUCUUAUAGCGUUUCUCUUGUUAUGUUGGCGUUUGGAAUGAUCAAGCAGGUUAUGUCUGCAUGAAUGUAGUCCAAUUUGGCUGAUGUGAAGAGUAUGGUUUUAAUUUAUCUAUUUCUGGAUUUCUAUAA